UGAGCCCACAGUCCCCUCACCCAGUUGCUUGCCCUUGGGACUGGGUCCGCCAAGGACUCCUUCUUUACCUACUCUGUCCAUCUGAGAAGACCUGUGUGGGCGGAAUUCAGAUGCACCGGUUGCAUGUCUGCCUCUGCAGCCCUGGUAGGACACCUCCAAUCCUAGGGAACCCCUCCAGAUGUUUCAGAGUUAUCUUACCAUCUUGUUACACUUCAAGUGUGAGCACACACGAUGCAUCCCUCUCACAAUUAAAAAAUACAACCUAUGCAGCUACCAUUAUGAAAACAGCCAGGGUGAUCUGGGGGGAAGAGGCCUCGGAAAGGUGUUCUUUUUGGACAGCAGAAACCCAAGGUGUCUCUCCAGAACCCCUGCUAAGUUGGUAGUGCUGAUCCUGUGCAUAAGAAGUAGCCUGGAGUGGCCAUGGUAGCACCUGACUUUCACCUUUGUACUGUGAAGGCUAAGGCAGGAGGCCCUACAUCCUCAGGCCCUCUCUCAACAAAGAAAAUUCUCAAACUGGGUAUAGCAAUGCACACCUGUGAUCCUAGCAUCAGGAUCAGGAGUUGGAAGUCAUCCCCAGCCACACAGGGAAUGCAGAUCAGUCUGAGCUGCAUGAGACCCCCAUCUCAGAAGUAGAAAGAAAAUUGCAAAAAUCUAGGCUCAACAGUGGUGGCAUACACUUAAGGAGACAGAGGCCAAUAGAUCUCUGAGUUUGAGGCUAGCCUGGGCUACACAGAAAUCUUAUUUUUAAAAAAUAUAUAUUUUUUCAAAAAUCCAAAACAAAUAAAAAUGUGCCUUUCCAUCACAA
rnacentral:lncRNA from 1 species